rnacentral:rRNA from 1 species
UACGAAGGGGGCUAGCGUUGCUCGGAAUCACUGGGCGUAAAGCGCACGUAGGCGGCUUUUUAAGUCAGAGGUGAAAUCCCUGGAGCUCAACUCCAGAACUGCCUUUGAUACUGGAGAGCUGAGUCCGGGAGAGGUGAGUGGAACUGCGAGUGUAGAGGUGAAAUUCGUAGAUAUUCGCAAGAACACCAGUCGGCGAAGGCG